rnacentral:rRNA from 1 species
CCGAGGAUCUUGGGCAAUGCCCGAAAGGGUGACCCAGUGACGCCGCAUGGGGGAGGAAGCCCUUCGGGGUGUAAACCCCUGUUGGCGAGAGAAGAAGCCAGUCCUCAAGGACUGGUUGACGGUACCUCGCGAGAAAGCCCCGGCUAACUCCGUGCCAGCAGCCGCGGUAAAACGGAGGGGGCUAGCGUUGCCUGGAUUUACUGGGCUUAAAGGGUCCGUAGGCG